CAACUCACAAAACAUAAAUCAUAACUCAUGAUUGAUAAGACCAAUAAGUAAUAACAAUUAACACAUUUUACAGGCAUGGGAUAACAACAUUCAUUAUUAUUUAUUCAACAAAUCAAUGAGAAAUAGCCAACAAAAUAUAACAUAACAAUACCCAAAAAAUAAAAAACAGCAAUAAAAUAGAACAUAAAGCACUCACUAGUCAGCGGGCGAAGCUGAAUUUUGAUCGCCCAAUCGGCAAUCGGGCUGUCUACUAACCAGAACAGGAAGUCAUCAAGUUGGAAAUCUCGAAACAUUGGAAUGACAGUUGAACUCGGCAGAAGAAGAACAACUGAUGACUGAACCAGGCUUUAAAGUUUAAGCUUUUGGACUUGGCUAAUGGGCAAUGGCUGGCGGGUGACCGUGCUGCUGAACGGAAUUUGGAAGGGAGGAAAAGGGUUUGCAAGCUUUUGGAUUUGCGAAUGAGAAAUUGAGAGUCGAUUACUUGAUUUGGCGGAGUUUGCUGUUUGGAAUUGGACCAUACUGCUAGUGUCGGACUCGGACUGGGGGUAACAAUUCAUUGAAAAAUUUUAAACAAAUUUG
rnacentral:lncRNA from 1 species